rnacentral:rRNA from 1 species
CGACCUGCACGAAAGGUGUAACGACUUGGAUGCUGUCUUUGAGAAAGAUUCGGUGAAAUAGAAAUGUCUGUGAAGAUACGGACUAUCUACACCUGGACAGAAAGACCCUAUGAAGCUUUACUAUAUUUUGAAAUUAAAAAAUAAAAUAUAUUUGUGUAGAAUAAGUGGGAAACUAAUUAAUUAGUUUAUCUUGAAAUACCACUCUUAUAUAUUUUAUUUUUUUAUUAUAAUAUUGUUAACCAAUUAUAAGAAAAUUUUAAAAAGGUAGUUUGACUGGGGCGGUAGCCUCCUAAAGAGCAACGGAGGUGUACAAAGGUCUUUUUUUAAUUUAAAAUAAUUUUUUAAAUUAAAACUAUAAAGGGAAAAAAAGGCUUGAUUGCAAGAGUUACUACUCGAGCAAGGAACGAAAGUCGGUCUUAAAUGAAUCCGACAGUUCUUAGUGGAAAGGCUGUCGCUUAACGAAUAAAAGUUACUCUAGGGAUAACAGGCUGAUCUCCCCCUAAAGUUCCUAUUGACGGGGAGGGUUGGCACCUCGAUGUCGGCUCGUCGCAUCCUGAGGCUGAAGUAGGUCUCAAGGGUUGGUCUGUUCGCCCAUUAAAGCGGCACGUGAGCUGGGUUCAGAACGUCGUGAGACAGUUCGGUCCAUAUCCGGUGUAGACAUAAGAACAUUGAAAAGUUUUUCUUUU